rnacentral:rRNA from 1 species
UACAGAGGGUGCGAGCGUUAAUCGGAAUUACUGGGCGUAAAGCGCACGUAGUCGGCUUUGCAAGUCGGGUGUGAAAUCCCCGGGCUCAACCUGGGAACUGCAUCCGAGACUGCAUUGCUAGAGUAUGGGAGAGGGAAGCGGAAUUUCUGGUGUAGCAGUGAAAUGCGUAGAUAUCAGAAGGAACAUCAGUGGCGAAGGCGGCUUCCUGGACCAAUACUGACGAUCAGGUGCGAAAGCGUGGGGAGCAAACAGGAUUAGAAACCCCCGUAGUCC